rnacentral:rRNA from 1 species
AAAACGACUYUCGGCAACGGAUAUUUCGGCUCUCGCAUCGAUGAAGAACGCAGCGAAAUGCGAUACUUGGUGUGAAUUGCAGGAUCCCGCGAACCAUCGAGUCUUUGAACGCAAGUUGCGCCCGAAGCCUUCCGGCUGAGGCNNNNNNUGCCUGGGUGUCACUC